rnacentral:rRNA from 1 species
CCUACGGGAGGCAGCAGUGGGGAAUAUUGGGCAAUGGGCGCAAGCCUGACCCAGCAACGCCGCGUGAAGGAAGAAGGCUCUAGGGUUGGAAACUUCUUUUAUCAGGGACGAAGCAAGUGACGGUACCGGAUGUAUAAGCCACGGCUAACUACGUGCCAGCAGCCGCGGUAAUACGGAGGCGGCAAGCGUUAUCCGGAUUUACUGGGUGUAAAGGGCGUGUAGGCGGGAAAGCAAGUCAGAUGUGAAAACGAUGGGCUCAACCUGUGGCCUGCAGUUGAAACUGUUUUUCUUGAGUACUGGAGAGGCAGGCGGAAUUCGUAGUGUAGCGGUGAAAUGCGUAGAUAUUAGGAAGAACACCAGUGGCGAAGGCAGUCUGCUGGACAGCGACUGACGCUGAGGCGCGAAAGCGUGGGGAGCGAACAGGAUUAGAUACCCUGGUAGUC